GCUUGUCUCAAAGAUUAAGCCAUGCAUGUCUAAGUACAAGCCUCAGUAAGGUGAAACCGCGAAUGGCUCAUUAAAUCACACCUAAUCUACUGGAAAGUUACUAGUUACUUGGAUAACUGAGGUAAUUCUAGAGCUAAUACAUGCUGGUGUGCCUGACUUUUCGGAAGGGCGGUAUUUAUUAGAUAACGAACCAAUAUUCCUCUGGUCUAUUGUGGUGAAUCAUAAUAACUGAUCGAAUCGCAAAGCCUUUGGCUGCGAUAUGUCAUUCAAGUUUCUGCCCCAUCAGCUUUCGAUGGUAGUGUAUUGGACUACCAUGGCUUUUACGGGUAACGGAGAAUUAGGGUUCGAUUCCGGAGAGGGAGCCUGAGAAACGGCUACCACAUCUAAGGAAGGCAGCAGG
rnacentral:rRNA from 1 species